UGGUUGAGCAAGGCAGAGAAGCAAGCCACGGAGCAGCUUUGCGCCAAGGUCUCAACUUCUGCCUCUGUUUGCAUGACCCGGCUUUACUUUCUCCUUGGCUUUCACCCACGAUGGAGUAUAAAGUUGGUUCAUUUUGAAUUUCUUUCUGCUGUGUGGUCCACUUUUCCUGAGUGGAGGUCCUUGAAGGAUUGGGAAGGCCUCGGAGUCAGAAAAGCAUGAAGAUCAAGAAUCUGCCAUGUGAUGGAUGUCUACUGAUAGGACCAGGUUAAAUUGACACCAUUUCAACGCGCUCCAGUUCAUCUUACCUUUGCAGUAGAGUUCAAACCAAUUGGUCUUUGAGAAUUAUGGGAGACAUUUACUAAGGGAAAUUUAUAUUGGUCAAAUGUAUCAAUUCGGUUAUAAAACGUGAACUUCCUGACCCUCGUAUAACAAAGUGAGUAAUAACCCAUCUCAGUCCAAUUUUCAUUAUCCCGACUGAUGCACUGAAUGAUUACCAAUGUGUUUAUAUCUUUAUCAACUGAAAUCUAUAUUAAUAUUAACAUUCCAAGCUCACCCAAGAUAACGCAAGCAUGAGGAAGCUGUGAAGGUUCUGUAUUCUUUACAAUUUAAUUCAUAGCUUUCUUGCUUUUGGUAUGAGCCUUUUAAGUGAUAAAAGUUGAUUGUGGAGGAAGGCUUCUUUUGGGGAGUAAACACAGAAGGAUAGGUACAGCGUGCUAAAAUGAGGAUGAUAAUUACUUCUGAUUCAUGCUAAUUUAAUAUAAAUUUAUCAAAUGCUUUCUCAGACAAUGGUUGAUAUUAUCUUUCAUGACAGUUCAGCAGAAAAUAAUUGCAUGGAGAAGGAAGAUGUUCCACAGAGUAAGGUUUGCUAGAGAAGCCUAAGACCAGAGUUUAAUUUUCGGAACUCUGGUAAAAAUGUAGAGGAGAAUCAACCUCACAGAGUUGUUUACUGACACCCACACACAGUUUGUAUGCAAACUAUCACCCAGCUAUGCCUACACAUCUUCCAUCAUAUGUACAUGUACAUAUACAUUAGUGCUAUCAAUGACAUUUUGAAAAAUAAUUAAAAUUAAAUGAUGGUUACAAUUUACUAUAUCCAUUCAAUAAGAGGUGGUGGUGGUGGUGUGGGACAAAAAGAAUGUAAUGGAAUGCAAAGCAACUUCCUCAGGAAAACUGUAGCCUCGCACGCAUGAGGAGUAGACUGCAAAGAGGGGUUAAUAAUUCUAAGUUUAUUGCGUUUCAUUUUAUUUUACCAAGUUACUUCCUUUCAGUAUCUCCAGAGUUCCUGUAUUAGUCUCUUCCAUUUUGAAAGCUCAUGGCAAACAGUUUAUAAAGAGUUAUGUUUCACUUUCAUUUUAUCAUAAAGAAAGAACAAGAAGAGAUCCGAGGCUGUACUUUUAUCAGAGUAGGACAUAAAGUAUAAUGUUUGGUGAAAUACAAAUCCUUACAGAUUCAACUUUUCAAUGUAGUUGGUUUUAAAAUAUAGCUGAGUUAAAAAAUGAAUUAUAUAAAAUUAAUUGCUAUCUUAUGCCUUAUCUGGAAAUAUAAACCCUCUUUAUCUUGUAAUAACAUUUAAAACCAUGUAUUGAACAGUAUAAAACAUAUGAUCCUACCAUUUUAAUAAACAGUUACAUUCACUGAGCUAGAAAUGAAUAGAUUCAAUAGGAAUUCUACUUCUUAUCACAAAUUCAGGACACAACAAAGUGUUCACGGGUGCCAGAUUUCCUUUAAUUGUGUAGUUACUAGAACCUAUCAUUUCAGGAGGAUUUAAAGGAAAUCUGGUUUUCUUUCCAUUAUAAAACACAAAACAUCUGCUUUUUUCAUUGAAGUACAAACUAAUAUUUUGUUAUGUAGCACUGAGGGUAUUGUCUGUAAUACAUUUCAAACUAGUUUAAUAAAACUAUGGCAGAGAAUAUUUGAAAAUUCAUCCUGGAUGCCGCACAUAGCCGUAGAAUUUGGGAUAUACUUUUUUUCAAGUUUUUACAGUUGCUAAUUUAAGAAUUUGAGCACUGACUCAGAGGUAAAUUUCAAGACACUCUUACUGCUCAUUAAAAGAAAACUUUUAGGGCAGGCUUAAGUGUGAUGUGAGGAAGGGAAAAAUGGAGUCAGUUAAAAGAAAAAGCCAAGCUAUUUGUGUUAAGAUAUCUUCAGAGCCAGCUACAUGGCAGCAGGCAAGCAGAAACAUGAGAGGGAGGAGGGGGUCAGACAAACCCCAAAGAAUCAUAGGAAACAUAACUUUCCUGGGCAGCAUCGAAUGCAGUGGUUCUCAACCUUCCUAAUGCUAUGAUCCUUUUACACAGCUCCUCAUGUUUUGGUGACCCCCAACCAUAAAAUUACUCCCAUUGCUACAUUGUACCUAUAAUUUAGCUUCUGUUGUGAAUCAUGCUGUAGAUAUCUAUGUUUUCAGAUGGUCUUUAGUGACUCCUGUAGAAGGAUCUUUUUGACCAACAAAGGACUUGUGAACCACAGGUUGAGAACAGCUGAUCUAAAAUAUACAGAAAAGAAACACUAUGUAUCUACUUGAGAAGUCAAAACGGACAGAAUUGCUGCAUACUCAAGGGAAAAACCCUAGGUUUCUGCACAGGGGUAUUUAUUCUGAGGAGGAAGGAUAAUAUUUCUCCUAUUUUUCUUAAAUCUUUAAGGCAAACACAAUUGACUUGGAUUAAGCUUAAGAGGGAAAGUAUAAUAUGGCUCCACCCCAUAUAGAUUUCAUUUUUUGACUAGGACAUCAUAGCUUCAGUUAAUGGUUCAGGAAGCUAAUGUAGCACUGUGGACAAUUUCUUACACUUUCCAACUCAUCUUUCAGGAAUUAAAGAGACUAUCAGAGAAAUAUACACUUGGAAAAUUAUCCUUUCUUUCUACUAUAAGUGAUAGUGUUCUUAAAUAGUGUUUGGUAUGUUGGCACUAAUAGAGGAAGGUGCAUUGUCAUUCUGUCUUUCCUUCCAUCCUUCCGACAGUCCUUCUUGGAUGCAGAAUAUAGAACUAAAACAGUAUGUGUAUUAUAUUAGGUUGAAUCAUUUUUACAGGAGAGAGAACAGUUUUAUCUCGAGGAAAUGGUUAUUUGAUAUAUAUUUCACAGCAUAUUCUUAAUUUAUAGAAAAGAACAGAACUUAGGAAGUAGUCUAGUCUACCUAAAGCUUAAAUGUACAGAAACUAUGUUCUCAACAAGAUAACCAAUCACUGGAAGAUGCUUUCUCUAUGACUAAGACUAAAUAUGCAACCAUCAAGAAGCAGGGUGUGUGUGUGUGUGUGUGUGUGUGUGUGUGUGUGUGUGUGUGUGUGUGUGUAGGUAUUUCUGUUCAACAGACAUUUACAAUUAACUGGAACAAACCACACCCUUAUAAAACUGUAAAAAUUCCUUUACAAACAAUUAUUCAGAGAUUUCACUGUUACUAGAGCUUAACAUGUCAAAUACAUUGGUACGAAAGUAAAUAGCUAUAAAUAAAAAUAAGAGAGGCAGAAGAAUCAAAAGUCUUAAAGAAAAAUAGAAAAAGUUUCAAUGUCUUUAUUGUAAUAUCAGUUUGAAACCUAUUUGAGACAAGAGAGGUACCAUAUUGAAUAAUAUAAAUGAGGGUUUACAAAGCACCUCCCCUCCCAAAAUAACACAACUCUAUGUUUUGAGUUGUAAAUAAAAACUUAUAUUGCAUUAAAACUCACUUGGCUCUUAAGAUUUAUGUGAAAAACAUUAGAGACUUUUAUAUGUCAUUAUUUAACAAAGAAAAAGUGUCUCAGAAAAUCCAAGUGAGGCACUGACAAUUUUCUGCCCAGGAGGCAGACGAUGAGGGAAGAAAGAUGGUAGACCAUUAAUGGAUCUUUCACUUUAGCCAAAGACUGAGUUCCUCUCCUGCUGUAAUGGCUUCCCUAUCCUUGUCUGCCAUCUGGAGGUGACUAUUUGAGGCAACUUUCAAAUCUUCCACCUGAGGACAUCUAUGAUAGGCACCAACCUACUUCCCUGCAUCUGCUACAUUAACCAAUCUGUGCAAUCUCCCCAAACAGACAAUUCUGAGAUAGAAUUAGAGUUUAUCUUUUUUCCAACAAUGUAAAGUCUCAACUGUUCAGCCAGAUUAGGGCCAUCUUCCUUUCCAACACUGAGAAGUCUUCUUGUUCAGAUACCUUUUUAUCUGAGGCUCCUCCUUUCAAUAAAGUUGCCUGAGAUCUCAGACCUAACUUUCCAUGUCUGUUAUGUUUAAAUCAAAGAAUACACAGAAUCUAUUUCUCAAACCUUAGAGGAUAUCUCCCUGUUGUAUCAAAUUAUUUCAAGAAAUAUCAUUGCUAAACUAUGUUGGUAUUUUUUAUACAAAAUUUAAACUUAAGA